UUCUAUUGCGGGCGGCGCCGAUUCUGUGCUGGACCGAAUUUUGGCUCGUAUCGAUGGUAUUGAAAAAUCUCUAAACGCCUUGGACGAUAUAAAAUCAUCAAUUUCCUCCAUUGAGAGAUCUCUUUCUAGCUUAUUACUGUUAAUGAUUUGUUGUGAUUGGUCGGCUCCACUACUCACGGUUUGGCGGAGCAGGAAAUGAUCAGCUCAGUCUCAUGCAAAAAAUGGACACGGACUCAGCGGCACUUCGUAGGGUUUUGGGGGGAUAUUAUCUAUGUGUCUAUGUUGCACACUUGGACAAGGUGAAUAAAUUACAGGCAUGCAUAGGGUUCUUUUUCAAUAAUGUGAUGAUUUUUACUUCACCGGAAAAACACUGAAACACAAGCACAAAAA